rnacentral:rRNA from 1 species
UACGUAGGUGGCAAGCGUUGUCCGGAUUUACUGGGCGUAAAGAGCGCGCAGGCCGGCCAAGUCAGUCGAAUGUGAAAGCCCCCCGGCUUAACUGGGGGAGGGUCAUUCGAUACUGCUCGGCUCGAAGACAGGAGAGGGAAGCGGAAUUCCCGGUGUAGUGGUGAAAUGCGUAGAUAUCGGGAGGAACACCAGUGGCGAAGGCGGCUUUCUGGCCUGUUCUUGACGCUGAGGCGCGAAAGCUAGGG